rnacentral:rRNA from 1 species
UGGGGAAUAUUGCACAAUGGGCGAAAGCCUGAUGCAGCCAUGCCGCGUGUGUGAAGAAGGCUCUAGGGUUGUAAAGCACUUUCAGUAGGGAGGAAAGGUUGAUGGUUAAUACCCAUCAGCUGUGACGUUACCUACAGAAGAAGCACCGGCUAACUCCGUGCCAGCAGCCGCGGUAAUACGGAGGGUGCAAGCGUUAAUCGGAAUUACUGGGCGUAAAGCGUGCGUAGGCGGCUACCUAAGUUGGAUGUGAAAGCCCCGGGCUCAACCUGGGAACUGCAUCCAAAACUGGGUGGCUAGAGUGCGAGAGAGGAGUGUGGAAUUUCCUGUGUAGCGGUGAAAUGCGUAGAUAUAGGAAGGAACACCAGUGGCGAAGGCGACACUCUGGCUUGACACUGACGCUGAGGUACG